GGACAGGAAGCAGAGGGAAUGAGAUCUGCUGUAUCAGCCAGACCAAGGAAGGUGGGACUACUUCACAGUGUGGCUCAGCAGGGUCCCCCACCAGAAGGCUUGGGAAAGCAGGACUCCCUGCAAAGUGCUCCCUGGAGACAAGAAAGAAAAUUCUUGCUGAUACUUUUCUGCCAUAAAGAAUGGAUCCCAAGUUCAUCAGGAGCUUCAUGCUGCUGCAGGAUCAGCUCAGAACCAAUGUAUACGCGAUGAUCCAUCUCACUAUGCUACUCACACAAAGGCAGAGACUGUGAAAUGGGGGAUGAGGGACACUGUUCACUCCUAGUAGUCUCUCACUCUAUGUAAAUACAAUUCAAAUGUCUUAGUCAUCCUCGUCAUCUGUACAAUGUUUUCAAAUUCUGGAGUCCUCUGAGCCCUGUAAUUAUUACCCAUAUUAAAUAAAUUUAGGGUGGAUUUCUUAUAUACUGAUAUCUUAAAUUUCAAAUCCCAUAAAGACACACAGAGAAGUAAUUAGCCUGAUAUUUUGAUAGACAUAGAUGAUGAUGAGAAAGAAAUCAGAAGAUUUAUAUCCUGUAGAUAUCGACCUAUAUAUGAAGCUGUAUAUUGUCAGAUCUGUCCAUAUUUUUGAGGCUACUAUUCCAAACCCUCAAUAGAGAAAACUAUGAGUGAAAUCAUG
rnacentral:lncRNA from 1 species